CGACUCUCUAUCAGCUAAAACGGCACUAUGCAAGUUUGCCAGAUUGGGCAGUGGAUCUGUAGUUUGAAUGGACAAUUCUGUUUCCAACCUGUAGGGGGACCAAAGAGGAAAAGUUUCUCUAGUUUUGCUUU